UUCGGGAUAAGCCUCGGAAACGGGGUCUAAUACCGGAUAUCACUUCCUGCUUCAUGGUGGGGGGUUGAAAGUUCUGGCGGUUGGGGAUGGGCUCGCGGCCUAUCAGCUUGUUGGUGGGGUAAUGGCCUACCAAGGCGUCGACGGGUAGCCGGCCUGAGAGGGCGACCGGCCACACUGGGACUGAGACACGGCCCAGACUCCUACGGGAGGCAGCAGUGGGGAAUAUUGCGCAAUGGACGAAAGUCUGACGCAGCAACGCCGCGUGAGGGAUGACGGCCUUCGGGUUGUAAACCUCUUUCAGCAGGGACGAAGCGAGAGUGACGGUACCUGCAGAAGAAGGACCGGCCAACUACGUGCCAGCAGCCGCGGUAAUACGUAGGGUCCGAGCGUUGUCCGGAAUUAUUGGGCGUAAAGGGCUCGUAGGCGGUUCGUCACGUCGGGAGUGAAAACUCGGAGCUUAACUCCGAGCCUGCUUCCGAUACGGGCAGACUAGAGGUAGGCAGGGGAGAGCGGAACUCCUGGUGUAGCGGUGGAAUGCGCAGAUAUCAGGAAGAACACCGGUGGCGAAGGCGGCUCUCUGGGCCUUACCUGACGCUGAGGAGCGAAAGCGUGGGUAGCGAACAGGAUUAGAUACCCUGGUAGUCCACGCCGUAAACGUUGGGCGCUAGGUGUGGGGGACAUUCCACGUCCUCCG
rnacentral:rRNA from 1 species